rnacentral:tRNA from 1 species
GGUAAGAUGGCCGAGUGGUUAAGGCGGUGGAUUUAAGUUCCCCACUGACGAGAGUCACCUGGGUUCGAACCCCAGUCUUACCA